UACGGGGGGGGCAAGCGUUGUUCGGAAUUACUGGGCGUAAAGGGCUCGUAGGUGGCCAACUAAGUCGGACGUGAAAUCCCUCGGCUUAACCGGGGAACUGCGUCCGAUACUGGUUGGCUUGAGUUUGGGAGAGGGAUGCGGAAUUCCAGGUGUAGCGGUGAAAUGCGUAGAUAUCUGGAGGAACACCGGUGGCGAAGGCGUCUUACUGGUCCGAAUCUGACGCUGAGGUGCGAAAGCUAGGGGAGCGAACGGG
rnacentral:rRNA from 1 species